rnacentral:rRNA from 1 species
UACAGAGGGGGCAAGCGUUAUUCGGAAUUAUUGGGCGUAAAGGGCGCGUAGGCGGCCUGGCAAGUGGAUGGUGAAAUCCCUCGGCUUAACCGAGGAACUGCCAUCCAGACUGCUUGGCUUGAGACCGGAGAGGUGAGUGGAAUUCCCAGUGGUAGCGGUGAAAUGCGUAGAUAUUGGGAGGAACACCAGUGGCGAAGGCGGCUCACUGGACCGGUACUGACGCUGAGGCGCGAAAGCGUGGGAGCAAGCGGG